GAGCUCAAAGUUGGAACCUGUUUGGCUUAGCUAAACCGGAUUGUAAACUGUAGAAGUGUUUUCCUGACACGCCUGGUAAAAAAGUCCUUUGGAACAGGGCAUCAUAGAGGGUGAGAAUCCCGUGUUUGGCCAGAGCUGUUGUCUUUUGUGAUACAUUUUCAAAGAGUCAGGUUGUUUGGGAAUGCAGCCUAAAUUGGGUGGUAAAUCUCACCUAAAGCUAAAUAUUUGCGAGAGACCGAUAGCGAACAAGUACCGUGAGGGAAAGAUGAAAAGAACUUUGAAAAGAGAGUUAAACAGUAUGUGAAAUUGUUAAAAGGGAACCGUUUGGAGCCAGACUGGCUUGACUGUAAUCAAUCUAGGCUUCGGCCUGGAUGCACUUGCGGUUUAUGCCUGCCAACGACAAUUUUUUUGAGGGAAAAAACUAUUAGGAAUGUGGCCCCUCUCGGGGGGUGUUAUAGCCUUUUAGAAAAUACCUUGAAUUGGAUUGAGGAACGCAGUGAAUGCCUUUAGGCAAGAUUGCUGGGUGCUUUCGUUAAUAAAUGCUAGAAUUUCUGCUUCGGGUGGUGUUAGUGUUUAAAGAUGGAACUCGCCUAGUAUAUUUUUUAUUCGCUUAGGUUGUUGGCUUAAUGACUCUAAAUGACCCGUCUUGAAACACGGACCAAGGAGUCCACCAUUAGUGCGAGUAUUUGGGUGACAAACCCAUAUGCGUAAGGAAACUGAUUGAUACGAAAUCUUUAAGAUGGCAGUAUCACCCGGCGAUGACGUUUUAUACUGAACCGACCGAGGUAAAGCACUAAUGAUGGGACCCGAAAGAUGGUGAACUAUGCCUGAAUAGGGUGAAGCCGGAGGAAACUCCGGUGGAGGCUCGUAGCGAUUCUGACGUGCAAAUCGAUCGUCAAAUU
rnacentral:rRNA from 1 species